rnacentral:rRNA from 1 species
AAGCAUAUCAAUAAGCGGAGGAAAAGAAACCAACAGGGAUUGCCCUAGUAACGGCGAGUGAAGCGGCAACAGCUCAAAUUUGAAAUCUGGCUUCGGCCCGAGUUGUAAUUUGCAGAGGAAGCUUUAGGCGCGGCACCUCCUGAGUCCCCUGGAACGGGGCGCCACAGAGGGUGAGAGCCCCGUAUAGUUGGAUGCCUAGCCUGUGUAAAGCUCCUUCGACGAGUCGAGUAGUUUGGGAAUGCUGCUCAAAAUGGGAGGUAAAUUUCUUCUAAAGCUAAAUACCGGCCAGAGACCGAUAGCGCACAAGUAGAGUGAUCGAAAGAUGAAAAGCACUUUGAAAAGAGGGUUAAAUAGCACGUGAAAUUGUUGAAAGGGAAGCGCUUGUGACCAGACUUGCGCCGGGCUGAUCAUCCGGUGUUCUCACCGGUGCACUCUGCCCGGCUCAGGCCAGCAUCGGUUCUCGCGGGGGGAUAAAGGCCCUGGGAACGUAGCUCCUCCGGGAGUGUUAUAGCCCGGGGCGCAAUGCCCUCGCGGGGACCGAGGUUCGCGCUCUGCAAGGAUGCUGGCGUAAUGGUCAUCAGCGACCCGUCUUG